rnacentral:rRNA from 1 species
AUUGAACGCUGGCGGCAUGCCUAACACAUGCAAGUCGAGCGGAGCGGCGGACGGGGGAGUAAUGCCUAGGAAUCUGCCUGGUAGUGGGGGAUAACGACCGGAAACGGGCGCUAAUACCGCAUACUAUCAGAUGAGCCUAGGUCGGAUUAGCUAGUUGGUGGGGUAAAGGCUUACCAAGGUGACGAUGCAUAGCUGACCUGAGAGGAGGAUCGGUCACACUGGAACUGAGACACGGCCCAGACUCCUACGGGAGGCAGCAGUGGGGAAUAUUCGGCAAUGGGCGAAAGCCUGAUCCAGCCAUGCCGCGUGAGUGAAGAAGGUCUUCGGAUUGUAAAGCACUGUAAGUUGGGAGGCGUUACCUACAGAAUAAGCACCGGCUAACUACGUGCCAGCAGCCGCGGUAAUAC